UACGGGGGGGGCAAGCGUUGUUCGGAAUUACUGGGCGUAAAGGGCCAGUAGGCGGCCAACUAAGUCCGACGUGAAAUCCCAAGGCUUAACCUUGGAACUGCGUCGGAUACUGGAUGGCUUGAAUUCGGGAGAGGGAUGCAGAAUUCCAGGUGUAGCGGUGAAAUGCGCAGAUAUCGGGAGGAACACCGGUGGCGAAGGCGGAUCUCUGGGCCUGUCCUGACGCUCAGGCGCGAAAGCUAGGGGAGCAAACAGG
rnacentral:rRNA from 1 species